rnacentral:piRNA from 1 species
UAACACCGGCCGGAAGAUUAGUGAGC